rnacentral:rRNA from 1 species
UACGUAGGGUGCAAGCGUUAAUCGGAAUUACUGGGCGUAAAGCGUGCGCAGGCGGUUGUGCAAGACCGAUGUGAAAUCCCCGGGCUCAACCUGGGAAUGGCAUUUGGGACUGCAAGGCUUGAGUGCGGCAGAGGAGACUGGAAUUCCUGGUGUAGCAGUGAAAUGCGUAGAUAAUCAGGAGGAAUACCGAUGGCGAAGGCAGGUCUCUGGGCUGACACUGACGCUCAUGCACGAAAGCGUGGGGAGCAAACA